rnacentral:rRNA from 1 species
CCAGACUCCUACGGGAGGCAGCAGUGAGGAAUAUUGGUCAAUGGGCUUACGCCUGAACCAGCCAAGUCGCGUGAGGGAAGACUGCCCUAUGGGUUGUAAACCUCUUUUGUCAGGGAGCAACGCCGGCUACGUGUAGCCGGACUGAGAGUACCUGAAGAAAAAGCAUCGGCUAACUCCGUGCCAGCAGCCGCGGUAAUACGGAGGAUGCGAGCGUUAUCCGGAUUUAUUGGGUUUAAAGGGUGCGUAGGCGGCGCUGCAGGUCAGCGGUGAAAUACCGGGGCUCAACCCCGGGGCUGCCGUUGAAACUGUCGGACUAGAGACGGCGAGAAGUACGCGGAAUGCGCGGUGUAGCGGUGAAAUGCAUAGAUAUCGCGCAGAACUCCGAUUGCGAAGGCAGCGUACCGGCGCCGGACUGACGCUGAGGCACGAAAGCGUGGGUCUCGAACAGGAUUAGAUACCCCGGUAC